CAGUGGCGAAGGCGUCUCACCAGAACGGACCUGACGGCAAGGGACGAAAGCUAGGGNCACGANCCGGAUUAGAUACCCGGGUAGUCCUAGCCGUAAACGAUACUCGCUAGGUGUCGGCCACGGUGCGACCGUUGUCGGUGCCGUAGGGAAGCCGUGAAGCGAGCCACCUGGGAAGUACGGCCGCAAGGCUGAAACUUAAAGGAAUUGGCGGGGGAGCACCACAACGGGUGGAGCUUGCGGUUUAAUUGGAUUCAACGCCGGAAAUCUUACCGGGACCGACAGCAAUAUGAAGGCCAGGCUGAAGACUUUGCCGGAUUAGCUGAGAGGUGGUGCAUGGCCGUCGUCAGUUCGUACUGUGAAGCAUCCUGUUAAGUCAGGCAACGAGCGAGACCCACGCCCACAGUUGCCAGCGUACUCUCUGGAGUGACGGGUACACUGUGGGGACCGCCGCUGCUAAAGCGGAGGAAGGAAUGGGCAACGGUAGGUCAGUAUGCCCCGAAUAUCCCGGGCUACACGCGAGCUACAAUGGUUGGUACAAUGGGUAUCUACCCCGAAAGGGGACGGGAAUCUCCUAAAACCAAUCUUAGUUCGGAUUGAGGGCUGCAACUCGCCCUCAUGAAGCUGGAAUCCGUAGUAAUCGCGUUUCAACAGAACGCGGUGAAUACGCCCCUGCUCCUUGCACACACCGCCCGUCAAACCACCCGAGUAGGGUCUGAAUGAGAGCGCUUUCUUUGGAGGCGUUCGAAUUUGGGCUUUGCAAGGGGGGUUAAGUCUAACAAG
rnacentral:rRNA from 1 species